GACGUAGGGCGCGAGCGUUGUCCGGAUUUAUUGGGCGUAAAGAGCUCGUAGGCGGUCUGUUGCGUCGGCUGUGAAAACCCGGGGCUCAACCCUUGGAAGCCGGCCGAUACUGUCGGACUAGAGUCCGGAAGAGGCGAGUGGAAUUCCCGGUGUAGCGGUGAAAUGCGCAGAUAUCGGGAGGAACACCAAUGGCGAAGGCAGCUCGCUGGGACGGUACUGACGCUGAGGCGCGAAAGCGUGGGGAGCAAACAGG
rnacentral:rRNA from 1 species